AUGCCUCAUCAUCUUCUUGACGCAGUCUUUGUAGGUUUCGCCGGGUGCGCGGGUGAUUCCUGUCGCCCGGGAUCCCAGCCCCGCCGUCGCGACGCGCUGCUCGGCUUCGAUGAUGGUGGUCCGGCCUUGGUUCUUCUUGCCGAGACCCAUUCCCUCCUGCCAGCCCAUCUUCUGGAGGAGCUUAUUACCCAAGUUAUCGGAGCCGAUUCCGGCUUUCGUUGGUUCUUCGUAGCUGACGGUCGCUUCCUUGGCUUUGAGGAAGGCCUCCUUGUAGCGGUUGGGCCGCGGCUCGUCCGGCUCGCCGUACUUCUGCCGCCGCUCCUUGGCGCGAUCCCUGUACUGGACGUUCCUCUUCUGGAUAUCGUCGGGGUCCAACCCUCGGUCGUCGUACCAUUUCCGGAGGUUCUGCUUGUGCAGGUCCGACAGAGACUGGUGCUUCAGCAGCACGUCUUUGCUGGGGAACUGACGCUUGCACAACAAGCAGGCCAGUUUGACCCAGUCGGUGUGUUGCUUGUCUUCGUUGGCCGUGUUCUCGGCCGUUUCGUCUUCGCUGUCGCUGCCUUGGCCGUAGUUGGCGACGAGGCUUUCGGUCUUGCUCAGGAAGGGUGCGGGGUCGGGAUCUAUGUACAGCGCGGACUGGGUGGGCUCCUUACGCUCGAGAACCGAGAACCCGAUGUCCGCAGAGCCCUGGGCCUUCGUGUUGGACGCGGCGGCUUGCGCGGCGACGAGGUUCUGCUUGGCGAUCUCCUUCUUGUGGUUCAGGGUCUUGGCCCACUUUUCCAUGUCUUUCGCGAUCCUCUUCGCCACUUUGACCUUGUCGUCCUUUUCGGGCUUCUCCUUCUUCUCGGCGUCGGACGCAGGAGCGGCGAGGGUCAUUCCGGCGGCUCCGCCGUUGGCUGCGCCGCCGACGGAUGGGACCGUGCUGGAAGUCGGUGCGGGAAGAUACGUAUUGCGCGUUCCGUCCCAGUACAAGAACUUGGCCAACUUGGAAUUGUAAUAAUACUGCGAAUUCGCAUCAUAGUACAGCGUUGUGUAAGGGUCGUAAUAGUACCCGGACGUCUUGUCGUACUGGUAAGUGCUCACGUCCGGGAUCGGAUACGCAUGCUCGCCGGAACCGGUCGGAGCUUCGACCAAAGGCGUAGCGGCGGCAGUUUUAGUGCUGUCAACUUGAGGAGUGGCAACAUUGGAGGAACCCGUGGUCGGUAG
rnacentral:lncRNA from 1 species